UGAGCGGCGGACGGGUGAGUAACGCGUGGGUAACCUACCUCAUACAGGGGGAUAACAGUUGGAAACGGCUGCUAAUACCGCAUAAGCGCACAGUACCGCAUGGUACCGUGUGAAAAACUCCGGUGGUAUGAGAUGGACCCGCGUCUGAUUAGCUAGUUGGUGGGGUAACGGCCUACCAAGGCGACGAUCAGUAGCCGACCUGAGAGGGUGACCGGCCACAUUGGGACUGAGACACGGCCCAA
rnacentral:rRNA from 1 species